AGCGAGCGCUGGCGGCAGGCCUAACACAUGCAAGUCGAACGAACUCUUCGGAGUUAGUGGCGGACGGGUGAGUAACACGUGGGAACGUGCCUUUUGGUUCGGAAUAACUCAGGGAAACUUGUGCUAAUACCGAAUGUGCCCUUCGGGGGAAAGAUUUAUCGCCAUUAGAGCGGCCCGCGUCUGAUUAGCUAGUUGGUGGGGUAACGGCUCACCAAGGCGACGAUCAGUAGCUGGUCUGAGAGGAUGACCAGCCACACUGGGACUGAGACACGGCCCAGACUCCUACGGGAGGCAGCAGUGGGGAAUCUUGCGCAAUGGGCGAAAGCCUGACGCAGCCAUGCCGCGUGAAUGAUGAAGGUCUUAGGAUUGUAAAAUUCUUUCACCGGGGACGAUAAUGACGGUACCCGGAGAAGAAGCCCCGGCUAACUUCGUG
rnacentral:rRNA from 1 species